UACGUAGGGGGCAAGCGUUAUCCGGAUUUACUGGGUGUAAAGGGGGCGCAGACGGCGAUGCAAGCCAGGGGUGAAAGCCCGGGGCCCAACCCCGGGACUGCUCUUGGAACUGCGUGGCUGGAGUGCAGGAGGGGCAGGCGGAAUUCCUGGUGUAGCGGUGAAAUGCGUAGAUAUCAGGAGGAACACCGGUGGCGAAGGCGGCCUGCUGGACUGCAACUGACGUUGAGGCCCGAAAGCGUGGGGAGCAAACAGG
rnacentral:rRNA from 1 species